GAUGGCUCCGGCAUUGGAGCAGCACUUCUAGCAGCAUCUCACUCCCAGUAUCUUGGGGUAGAGGAUUCCUGAAAAAAGGGAGUCCAAAGCCAGCCAAGAGCAUAUCAUCUCCAGCAAUGGAUCAAUUAUGUGGUAGAUUUGCCUGCAAAAACUCCCAAGAUUUUGAAGUGGCUCCCUCUUAUCUUUAUGAUGUUGGAGCGGAUGUUGCUGGCAUUGGGGCACAAGUCCUUCCUUUG
rnacentral:misc_RNA from 1 species